UACGAAGGGGGCUAGCGUUGCUCGGAAUCACUGGGCGUAAAGGGUGCGUAGGCGGGUCUUUAAGUCAGGGGUGAAAUCCUGGAGCUCAACUCCAGAACUGCCUUUGAUACUGAGAAGCUUGAGUCCGGGAGAGGUGAGUAGAACUGCGAGUGUAGAGGUGAAAUUCGUAGAUAUUCGCAAGAACACCAGUGGCGAAGGCGGCUCACUGCCCGGUACUGACGCUGAGGUGCGAAAGCGUGGGGAGCAAACAGG
rnacentral:rRNA from 1 species